rnacentral:guide_RNA from 1 species
AAACAAACAACUAAUAAAAUGUAAAUCUGAUGUGUGAUAUACUAU